UUGAGCAUUUGCCUGGUGAUAAAGGUGGAUGUUAGUGGUAAUCUGAUAUGAGCUGCUAGAAGCUGACAAAGUCAUUGUAUGAAGAAAUCUGCAAGCGUGGAACAGUCUCCCCAUUUGAGAAGGCAUGUCUGCCAGUCGUCGACAUUUGGGCUCAGGUGACAAUCCAUGACGAGUGACCUUUCCCAGAGGAUCAUCCAUUUGGUUUGUAAUUGAUGGGUUAGGAAAUAUAUUACACAUUCCUUCAAAGUGUAUGAUUCAUAUUGAAUUUGAUGAUUUUUUAAAAUCCAAUAUGUGAUUCAUAUUGAAUAUAAUGCCUUUAAGUGCUGCUUGCUGUUAAUUUUUAACAGUUUAUUGUAGUGAUUAUAAAAUGCAAUAUUGUAGCCCAGUUUCAUGUUAGAGGAAGUGUUUCGUUGAAAGAAAUCUGUUUGCUAUGAAUGUUGUAUUUAUGCCCAAGAAAGUUUCAUUUGUGUCAGUUGAUGUAAUUUAUGUGAAUGGCUUAUAAGAAUAGGGUUGUAUGCUUUCCUGACAAACUGACUAAGAAAGCAAGCCUUUUUAGAUGUUUUUUUCAAUCUUUUUGUUGGUAAUAAAAUGUGAGAAGCCUGUAAUCAUAUGUUUGAUAUUUUAUUGUUAAUAACCACAUGCCUUUUCCUUGUUACUAAGGACGAUUGGGGGGAGUUAGCGGUACAAAUUGCACUACUUGACAAAAUGUACAUGCUGCAGUGAACUGAAAUGAGAUGUUUUGCUGGAAGCUGUUUCUAAAGAAUCUCCACUGCGUAUUGGUGCCUGCACGUGUUAUUCUGGCCUCUGGGUUUCUGCUAGAGACAACUGUUAACAAAGAGCUGUCCAGUGGAGCAUGACAUGUAGCUGUUCUCCGAGUACAAUUAAUACUGUGGAAUCAGCUGGAGCGCCAUGUUGGAUGUGAUGAGGGAGUACAUACAUUCAUGUAACAAACUUGAGAUGGGUUUACUUUGCAGGAAAGUCUGUCUGGUGGUAACCUUUGCACCUGCAGUGUAGAGAAUUGGCAUUGUAACCUGUGCAUGUAAGCUUACAGCAAGGUUAAUAGUGUGAUUUUUUAACACUUGGUUGUUCUUCAUGCAGAGUUUUAGUUUGUUGGACAUUAUUUUCUCAGGUCAGUUCCUCGUACUGAGUUUGUUGGACGUUUUCUCAGGUCGAUUCCUGGCAUUCGCAUGACCUGCAUUGAUAAGUUUCCUUGGGUUCAUUCCCGGUACUAGCACUCGACCAUCAUUUGCAUCACUAGCACAUGGAAUUGGUAUGCUCGUGAGAGUCUGUUGUAUUGGAAUAAUGAGACUUUUGUGGUGUAAAGUGAUUGGAGAGGUGGUAAGGGCAGUUGGAAUAUGUAAGGAAGACAGUAUGCCUCUUGUAAGUAAGAACAGAAGGAGCACUCACUAGACUUUUCAUUCCUUUAAGUGGUAACUGGAUAAUAUUAGCAAAACACAGAAAUGUGCCUUAAUGUAUGGUACAGCCUUGAGUAAUAAAUGGAACUAGGUCAUUGGUGGCUACAUGUAAGCGUGUGUCCUGAAAGAUGAGAUUUGCUACUCAUUUCACAAAUAUAAAGUUAAGUGUGGAACGUAACCACAUUGGAGUUUUGUAUGGUCAGAGGUAAUCUGAAAUUGCAUCGUUUAGCUGAAGUUCGUGUUCAUACACGAUUAAAAUGGAGCCAUUCUAUUCUUGCUUGCAGCAUUUAACAAUUCUAUUUUUGAAUGUGGUAAAUUUAGUAGUCUGGUUAAUACCCAGUACCCAAUGGUAUACAAACUUCAGCUGUGUUUGGAUAGCAGUUUGAAAACAAUUUAAUUGGUGUAUAUGUUGCAAGCAAUUUCAGAGUGGCUUUGCUGUUGCAGGAAGGAAAAUGUUUGCUUAGUAUUUGCCAGGAUGUUGGAGUGAGAGGAGUUGGCGUGGCCUUUGCUUAGUAUUUGCCAGGAUGUUGGAGUGAGAGGAGUUGGCGUGGCCUUUGCUUAGUAUUUGCCAGGAUGUUGGAGUGAGAGGAGUUGGCGUGGCCUUUGCUUAGUAUUUGCCAGGAUGUUGGAGUGAGAGGAGUUGGCGUGGCCUUGGAGGGAAGGCAAGGCAAGCAGUCUCCUUUUGGCAGAUGUGCUGAGUGGAACUUCGUUUACAAGUCUUAAGUAUGCUGACAACCCCAAUAUAAUGGUCUGACAGUGCUGCUGGUCAGGUAUUGGGACAGUAGGAGAUAAUGUUGAGCAAGGUGUACAGGUUCCCGGUGUCACGUGUAAUGGCUGUGAAAGGAGUUGAAUGUUAGAGAAAGUGUACAGUUGCAACGUAACCGGAAUAUGAGGGACAUAAUUCUAAUAGCAGAUCAAGAGGAUGCAUUGUAGACUGGUAUUAAGGUAACUGAACUGUCUUGUUUUGGUAAGGAGAUGCCACAACUUUGCACAGACAGAAGUAGUAGUGAUUCAGCUAAAUCUGAAGUAUGCUCACUAUUUCAGUCCGAUAUGCAUUUGAGAUAACAAAAUCCUGUCCAAUAGAAAAUUGUGUGCAUAUUGAAUGAGGAUACAGAGUUAAUUAGGUCAAUGCAGUAAUACGUUUCUUAGUGAAAAUUUUUAUAUUUGCGCUUUGUUAAGCAAGAGAUGUUUGCUGUCAUUACAGAGAUGGAAUUUAAAUUUUCAUGUAAGGUUGCUACAAGCUGUGUUGCAUACGUGAGAUGAUUUUAAUUUUGAAGUGUGGAUGAAUUGUUGGUUGCUGGGAGGGUGGGGUGUGGGCAGAACAGUUUUUUCUCUUCAUGCAGAUGUUAACACCUGGUGAAUACAGACAUUGAGCCUCUUGAGCAUCAACAUUGCCUGGGGAUGGAAGUUUGCUUGCAGCCUUGACUGGAUUGUAGAGUUACUGCUGGUCACAGGAACGGUUAUAGUGGAAGGGGUUACCAGUGGAGUUUGCCAUUAGUAGCUUCGCAUGUUCAGCAAAAGGUUUUCGUACGUAAGUUUGGAAGGUUAUGUUUUUCACGAGGUAGUAUGUAAUGUCUACCUGGACAGUGGGAUGACUGGCUGUUGCAGGAAACUAAAGAUAGAACUUGAUGCAAUGGCACUUAGAUAAUUAACCACAUAUUAAAAUUUAGUUUCUAUUGACACAACUUUUUUACUCUUUAUGUUUUGAAGAUCGAGGAAGUAAUAUUUUGUCUGAGUGUUCAAAGUUCUUGUAUUUUUGUGGAAGGGAGUUUUUGUUUUGUACUCUUAGAGCUCAACAGAGGUGUAAGCAACAGCCGUUUGUGAAGAUUGAUGGUGGUCGUUCUUAUCUGGGCCAAGUAUGUGUGCAAUUUUAACGAGAUCCUUCAUUUUGGAAGACUUAGAACCCACUUGAAGCAGUAUAUUCCAUGCCAUUUUUACGGGACGCUGCGUGGUGAAGUCUCGCGCCUACUGGAAGCGGUAUAUUUCUGCAUGAGGUUUAUUAGAGAUACUUUUCUUAAUAUGUAUGAGUCUUAAUAAUUGCCAGCAAUUGUAAUUCAUUAUUUAUGACGAUGUUUUUUCUAGGAGGGGCCGUACUUGAAUUGUAGCAUGUACAGAUAUCUCCCUAACUCCUAUGAAUUUCAUGGUCAUGAAAUUUUAUGCAGAUUGUUGUUUUAGGGAACACACUUUGACUUUAGCAAAUGGAUGUAUUCAAAAGGGGCAGAAUUUGUUGUAUCAGAGGUGGAGUGAUAUUGAUAACUAAGGCAUUGAAACCAGGACUAAGGGGGGGAUAUCUGUACUGUUACCAUGGUGAAUGCUUUGCUUGCAUAUUGCCUGUUUUCAGUUUGGCCAUUCUGGAAGGAAAAAAGCACUUUUACAGUAGAGAAUGCCGUUUUAUAGCUGUGUUAGAUGCAGUGAGAUGAGGUCAUUUGGGACAAGUUGUUGGAAAAAGGGGGGGCAAUUAAUUAUGGUUCUGUAAUGUCCCGAGACUUUUUAAUGUUGUAAGAUAGUGAUUAACUU